UGUCCGGGGAGAUAAGUCCUUAUAUACUCGGUCUCACAUCGAUUCAAUCUUUGGACUUAUCAAACAAUAGUUUGACAGGAUCAGUGCCUGAGUUUUUUACACAGCUACAAUACUUGAGAGUGCUGAACUUGAAAGGAAACAAUCUCGAAGGCUCAAUUCCAGCUGGACUAAAAGAAAAAGUAGACAAGGGUUUGCUGUUAUUAAG